AUCUUUUAAAUAUCUUGAAUAUGUAAAUCUUAUUUCAAAAAACUUAAAUAGGACCGAGCAAUCAAAGAGAUACCACUAUGUACGUGCUAGAAUUCUAACAUUGUGUCAGUACCUAAUGGCCAACUCAAGGGACAGUCUCAGGUAGACAAUUUCUAUGGAUCAUAGGCCUCCCAAAAGGUAACAAGGGCAUUCAAAGGUUUUGUCGUGUCGGACGGAGAUUGACUCUCAAGUGCAAAGGUAGAAGGGAGCUUGACUGCAAGACCCUCUUGUCAAUCAGGGACGAAAGUUGGCAUUAGUGAUUUGAUGGUGCUGAGUGAAAGGAACAUCGCUCAAUGGAUAAAAGUUAC
rnacentral:ncRNA from 1 species